GAUGAACGCUGGCGGCGUGCCUAAUACAUGCAAGUCGAGCGAACAGACGAGGAUCUUGCUCCUCUGACGUUAGCGGCGGACGGGUGAGUAACACGUGGAUAACCUACCUAUAAGACUGGGAUAACUUCGGGAAACCGGAGCUAAUACCGGAUAAUAUAUUGAACCGCAUGGUUCAAUAGUGAAAGACGGUUUUGCUGUCCCUUAUAGAUGGAUCCGCGCCGCAUUAGCUAGUUGGUAAGGUAACGGCUUACCAAGGCAACGAUGCGUAGCCGACCUGAGAGGGUGAUCAGCCACACUGGAACUGAGACACGGUCCAGACUCCUACGGGAGGCAGCAGUAGGGAAUCUUCGGCAAUGGGCGAAAGCCUGACGGAGCAACGCCGCGUGAGUGAUGAAGGUCUUCGGAUCGUAAAACUCUGUUAUUAGGGAAGAACAAAUGUGUAAGUAACUAUGCACGUCUUGACGGUACCUAAUCAGAAAGCCACGGCUAACUACGUG
rnacentral:rRNA from 1 species